rnacentral:rRNA from 1 species
UACGGAGGGUGCGAGCGUUGUCCGGAUUUAUUGGGUUUAAAGGGUGCGUAGGUGGCUUUUUAAGUCAGUGGUGAAAUACAGCCGCUCAACGGUUGAGGUGCCAUUGAUACUGAAGAGCUUGAAACAAAGGAUGGAGCUGCCGGAAUGGAUGGUGUAGCGGUGAAAUGCAUAGAUAUCAUCCAGAACACCGAUUGCGAAGGCAGGUGGCUACGUUUGAUUUGACACUGAGGCACGAAAGCAUGGGGAGCAAACAGG